UAUGGCCAUACCAUGUUGAAACACUGUUUCCCAUGCAAUCACCAAUGUUAACCAACAUUGAAUCGAGUCAGUACCUUGAUGAUUGACUACUUGGGAAUACCAGGUGCUGUAAG